rnacentral:rRNA from 1 species
UUAAGCGACUAAGCGUACACGGUGGAUGCCCUGGCAGUCAGAGGCGAUGAAGGACGUGCUAAUCUGCGAUAAGCGUCGGUGAGGUGAUAUGAACCGUUAUAACCGGCGAUUUCCGAAUGGGGAAACCCAGUGUGAUUCGUCACACUAUCAUUAACUGAAUCCAUAGGUUAAUGAGGCGAACCGGGGGAACUGAAACAUCUAAGUACCCCGAGGAAAAGAAAUCAACCGAGAUUCCCCCAGUAGCGGCGAGCGAACGGGGAGGAGCCCAGAGCCUGAAUCAGUGUGUGUGUUAGUGGAAGCGUCUGGAAAGGCGCGCGAUACAGGGUGACAGCCCCGUACACAAAAAUGCACAUAUUGUGAGCUCGAUGAGUAGGGCGGGACACGUGGUAUCCUGUCUGAAUAUGGGGGGACCAUCCUCCAAGGCUAAAUACUCCUGACUGACCGAUAGUGAACCAGUACCGUGAGGGAAAGGCGAAAAGAACCCCGGCGAGGGGAGUGAAAAAGAACCUGAAACCGUGUACGUACAAGCAGUGGGAGCCUCUUAAUGGGGUGACUGCGUACCUUUUGUAUAAUGGGUCAGCGACUUAUAUUCUGUAGCAAGGUUAACCGAAUAGGGGAGCCGAAGGGAAACCGAGUCUUAACUGGGCGUUAAGUUGCAGGGUAUAGACCCGAAACCCGGUGAUCUAGCCAUGGGCAGGUUGAAGGUUGGGUAACACUAACUGGAGGACCGAACCGACUAAUGUUGAAAAAUUAGCGGAUGACUUGUGGCUGGGGGUGAAAGGCCAAUCAAACCGGGAGAUAGCUGGUUCUCCCCGAAAGCUAUUUAGGUAGCGCCUCGUGAAUUCAUCUCCGGGGGUAGAGCACUGUUUCGGCAAGGGGGUCAUCCCGACUUACCAACCCGAUGCAAACUGCGAAUACCGGAGAAUGUUAUCACGGGAGACACACGGCGGGUGCUAACGUCCGUCGUGAAGAGGGAAACAACCCAGACCGCCAGCUAAGGUCCCAAAGUCAUGGUUAAGUGGGAAACGAUGUGGGAAGGCCCAGACAGCCAGGAUGUUGGCUUAGAAGCAGCCAUCAUUUAAAGAAAGCGUAAUAGCUCACUGGUCGAGUCGGCCUGCGCGGAAGAUGUAACGGGGCUAAACCAUGCACCGAAGCUGCGGCAGCGACACUAUGUGUUGUUGGGUAGGGGAGCGUUCUGUAAGCCUGUGAAGGUGGCCUGUGAGGGUUGCUGGAGGUAUCAGAAGUGCGAAUGCUGACAUAAGUAACGAUAAAGCGGGUGAAAAGCCCGCUCGCCGGAAGACCAAGGGUUCCUGUCCAACGUUAAUCGGGGCAGGGUGAGUCGACCCCUAAGGCGAGGCCGAAAGGCGUAGUCGAUGGGAAACAGGUUAAUAUUCCUGUACUUGGUGUUACUGCGAAGGGGGGACGGAGAAGGCUAUGUUGGCCGGGCGACGGUUGUCCCGGUUUAAGCGUGUAGGCUGGUUUUCCAGGCAAAUCCGGAAAACCAAGGCUGAGGCGUGAUGACGAAGCACUACGGUGCUGAAGCGACAAAUGCCCUGCUUCCAGGAAAAGCCUCUAAGCAUCAGGUAACAUCAAAUCGUACCCCAAACCGACACAGGUGGUCAGGUAGAGAAUACCAAGGCGCUUGAGAGAACUCGGGUGAAGGAACUAGGCAAAAUGGUGCCGUAACUUCGGGAGAAGGCACGCUGAUAUGUAGGUGAAGCGACUUGCUCGUGGAGCUGAAAUCAGUCGAAGAUACCAGCUGGCUGCAACUGUUUAUUAAAAACACAGCACUGUGCAAACACGAAAGUGGACGUAUACGGUGUGACGCCUGCCCGGUGCCGGAAGGUUAAUUGAUGGGGUUAGCGGCAACGCGAAGCUCUUGAUCGAAGCCCCGGUAAACGGCGGCCGUAACUAUAACGGUCCUAAGGUAGCGAAAUUCCUUGUCGGGUAAGUUCCGACCUGCACGAAUGGCGUAAUGAUGGCCAGGCUGUCUCCACCCGAGACUCAGUGAAAUUGAACUCGCUGUGAAGAUGCAGUGUACCCGCGGCAAGACGGAAAGACCCCGUGAACCUUUACUAUAGCUUGACACUGAACAUUGAGCCUUGAUGUGUAGGAUAGGUGGGAGGCUUUGAAGUGUGGACGCCAGUCUGCAUGGAGCCGACCUUGAAAUACCACCCUUUAAUGUUUGAUGUUCUAACGUUGGCCCGUAAUCCGGGUUGCGGACAGUGUCUGGUGGGUAGUUUGACUGGGGCGGUCUCCUCCUAAAGAGUAACGGAGGAGCACGAAGGUUGGCUAAUCCUGGUCGGACAUCAGGAGGUUAGUGCAAUGGCAUAAGCCAGCUUGACUGCGAGCGUGACGGCGCGAGCAGGUGCGAAAGCAGGUCAUAGUGAUCCGGUGGUUCUGAAUGGAAGGGCCAUCGCUCAACGGAUAAAAGGUACUCCGGGGAUAACAGGCUGAUACCGCCCAAGAGUUCAUAUCGACGGCGGUGUUUGGCACCUCGAUGUCGGCUCAUCACAUCCUGGGGCUGAAGUAGGUCCCAAGGGUAUGGCUGUUCGCCAUUUAAAGUGGUACGCGAGCUGGGUUUAGAACGUCGUGAGACAGUUCGGUCCCUAUCUGCCGUGGGCGCUGGAGAACUGAGGGGGGCUGCUCCUAGUACGAGAGGACCGGAGUGGACGCAUCACUGGUGUUCGGGUUGUCAUGCCAAUGGCACUGCCCGGUAGCUAAAUGCGGAAGAGAUAAGUGCUGAAAGCAUCUAAGCACGAAACUUGCCCCGAGAUGAGUUCUCCCUGAGACUUAGAGUCUCCUGAAGGAACGUUGAAGACGACGACGUUGAUAGGCCGGGUGUGUAAGCGCAGCGAUGCGUUGAGCUAACCGGUACUAAUGAACCGUGAGGCUUAACCUU